rnacentral:rRNA from 1 species
CCCUUAGAUGUCCUGGGCCGCACGCGCGCUACACUGACAUGUUCAACAAGUUUCUCCUAGUUCGACAGGACUGGGAAAUCUUUGAACGCAUGUCGUGAUAGGGAUAGAUCAUUGCAAUUAUUGAUCUUGAACGAGGAAUUCCUAGUAAACGCGAGUCAUCAGCUCGCAUUGAUUACGUCCCUGCCCUUUGUACACACCGCCCGUCGCACCUACCGAUCGAAUGUUUCGGUGAAGAUUCCGGAUAGGACUGAUUUGAUUUAUUUCAUUUCUGACCUAAAAGCUAUCUAAACCUCAACAUUUAGAGGAAGGUGAAGUCGUAACA